rnacentral:misc_RNA from 1 species
GGGGUCGUACUUCCUAAGACAGAGGAUAGAUCGAACCCUGCGACCUCCGCGAGACUGGCUCUGGUCUUUUAGAUGUCUUGAAAUAAUUCUUUGCAGACAUUGAGCAACCAUCUCCAGCUUUGAGGCAAGACUCUCCAUUUUCUCACUGAAGGUCCGGUACGUUCCAGGCCAGACCUUUUCCAACACGCUCUCCGUCUCCGAGCUCCGCCGCCAAUCCCAA